GGUGUAUCAUGCGCUCAUGGCGUAGCUGUUUAUUUGUUAUAGUAUACUUUUUCAGCAUUUUUUUUUGUACAGUUAUAGAAACUCACACAUGCUUGUAAUCUAAAUAGUGAGUAAUAAAAUUGAGAAUGAAAAUGAGGAAUAUGUCAAAGAAACAAAAAAGAUAUCUAGUAACAAUGCAAGGGCAGUUAUGGUAUCAAAGUAG
rnacentral:lncRNA from 1 species